UACUCUUCAACAGACCAGCGUCCCAGUCUUUCUGGCAUGCUGUUCAAAUUUAUACGCUUCUUGGUUAAAGUCUAAUUAUACAGUUGAUAACAUCACAACUGGUAGCAUUGGAUCCCUUGGCAUGCCAUUCGAUGAAGACCGUAGCAAAUUGCGAUAAGUGGUGUGAUAUGCGAGUCCAAAACUUAUACGUGAACCAUCGAAUUGUUGAACGCAUUGCAUCGAGCUUUGCCCAAGCACGAUAUGCCCCAUUGAGCGUCAUUAUAUCUUUGGAUUUUAAUCCAAGUUCGGGAUUCAUGGUCUUUGACCACGCUUCCUUGGAUGCAUCAGUGCCAGACGGAGUGAUACUCCCUUGUCGUAAACUUCAAGGCGUUCACACCCAUCCUGGCCUGCGGACCAACCUUGGUUGGUCAACAUGAGGGCGUCUUCUAUGGCCACCUCUUCCAAACAUGAUCUCAAGGGGGCAAGACAACCCGCUAGACUUAAGCAUAUUAAUCAGCGGAGGAAAAGAAACUAACAAGGAUUCCCCUAGUAACUGCGAGUGAAGAGGGAACAGCUCAACGUGUGAAUCUGACUUGGUCUAACACCUUGUCCGACUUGUGCACUAUUGACACUGGCUCAGCGUAUAAAUGCUAAAGGCGGAUGUCCGAUGAAACACGGCACCAUAGUGGGUCACAGUCCUAUACAUGCCUAUUGGUGUUUACGCAUAUGACCAGUGCUCAUCGAGUCGUGUAGUUUUGUAUUGCUGCACUAAUUGGGAGGUAGAGCCCUUCUAAAGCUAAAUAUUAUGGCAUGACCGAUAGCAAACAAGUACCGUGAGGGAAAGGUGAAAAGCAACCAUGCAGAAUGGGUUGAAAGAGUAGUGAAAGUGCUACCGGGAUAAGGGCUAGUGAUUGCAAGUGCAGACUGCAUGUGCUUUAGUGCUAUGCAAACUGCCGUCAUGCAUCGAUUGGGUUGGGGAGAACAGGUUGGUGGAGAUUCAGCUCGAUCCAGAGUGUUGUAAUCCAUCAGACAA
rnacentral:rRNA from 1 species